AAGUAAUUUUCUUUCUUGGGCAUGAUCAAGAUCAGAUGAGAUGAUUAUAGGAAAAGUGUCAUCGGAUCCAAGAAAGGCAUACUUGAGUUCCUUCGGUAAAGGUUUCAACUCGAGCUUAGGUGCUUGUUCAUGGGAUGGUACUAUCUUUGCUCCUCGAGAUGGCAAAUGUUCAAAUUCCUCUAUUCUCGGUCUCCACCCAUUGACCAUCAUGACAUCCGAGUUAUCUAAA
rnacentral:lncRNA from 1 species